rnacentral:rRNA from 1 species
GACGAACGCUGGCGGCGUGCUUAACACAUGCAAGUCGAACGGAAAGGCCCUGCUUUUGUGGGGUGCUCGAGUGGCGAACGGGUGAGUAACACGUGAGUAACCUGCCCUUGACUUUGGGAUAACUUCAGGAAACUGGGGCUAAUACCGGAUAGGAGCUCCUGCUGCAUGGUGGGGGUUGGAAAGUUUCGGCGGUGGGGGAUGGACUCGCGGCUUAUCAGCUUGUUGGUGGGGUAGUGGCUUACCAAGGCUUUGACGGGUAGCCGGCCUGAGAGGGUGACCGGGCACAUUGGGACUGAGAUAAGGGCCAGACUCCUACGGGAGGCAGCAGUGGGGAAUAUUGCACAAUGGGCGGAAGCCUGAUGCAGCAACGCCGCGUGCGGGAUGACGGCCUUCGGGUUGUAAACCGCUUUCGCCUGUGACGAAGCGUGAGUGACGGUAAUGGGUAAAGAAGCACCGGCUAACUACGUG